GACCAGCAGCUCCCAUGAAGAGAGAUUCCGUCCCCACCGAAAGAUUUAAGCACAGGGACACUUUUAGAAGGUCGGAGCCAGGUGUUGGUUCUGGUAGUGAUCGAGGGAAAUUUAGUACCGAAGUCCGGCUGGAUGAGAGGCGAGAAAAGCUGUGUGUAUAUCUAAGGUGCCCGUACCGCAAACCGACACAGGUAGGUAGGAAGAAGAUUCUAAGGCCAACGGGAGAAGGGUUGUUAAGGAACUCGGCAAGUUGACCCCGUAACUUCGGAAUAAGGGGUGCUCACGAGAGUGAGCCGCAGAGAAUAGGCCCAGGCAACUGUUUACCAAAAACACAGGUUUGUGCUAAAUCGAAAGAUGACGUAUACGAGCUGACGCCUGCCCGGUGCUGGAAGGUUAAAAGGAGAUGUGCAAGCAUUGAAUUGAAGCCCCAGUGAACGGCGGCCGUAACUAUAACGGUCCUAAGGUAGCGAAAUUCCUUGUCAGGUAAGUUCUGACCCGCAUGAAAGGCGUAAUGAUCUGGGCACUGUCUCAACAGCCCGCCCGGCGAAAUUGUAGUACCGGUGAAGAUGCCGGUUACCCGCGACAAGACGGAAAGACCCCAUGGAGCUUUACUGUAGCCUGAUAUUGGGUUUCGGUGUUGCAUGCACAGGAUAGAUGGGACGCUGGGAAAGAAGCGCUUUGGCGUUUCUGGAGCGGACGUUGGGAUACCAUCCUUGCGACAUUGGAAUUCUAACCUGCGCCUCUGAAUCGAGGCGGGGGACAUUGUCAGGUGGGCAGUUUGACUGGGGCGGUCGCCUCCUAAAAAGUAGCGGAGGCGUUCAAAGGUUCGUUCGAUCUGGACGGAAACCAGAUGAUUGAGUGCAAACGCAUAAACGAGCCUGACUGCGAGACUGACGGGUCGAGCAGAGACGAAAGUCGGAGUUAGUGAUCCGGUGGUAUGUGAGUGGAAAUGCCAUCGCUCAACGGAUAAAAGUUACCCUGGGAUAACAGGCUGAUCUCCCCCAAGAGUCCACAUCGACGGGGAGGUUUGGCACCUCGAUGUCGGCUCAUCGCAUCCUGGGGCUGAAUUCGGUCCCAAGGGUUUGGCUGUUCGCCAAUUAAAGCGGUACGCGAGCUGGGUUCAGAACGUCGUGAGACAGUUCGGUCCCUAUCUGUCGUGGGCGCAGGAUAUUUGAAAGGCGCUGUCCCUAGUACGAGAGGACCGGGAUGGACGAACCUCUGGUGCACCAGUUGUCACGCCAGUGGCACAGCUGGGCAGCUAUGUUCGGAUCGGAUAAACGCUGAAAGCAUCUAAGCGUGAAGCCGGCCUUAAGAUAAGAUAUCCCACUGAGUCAAUCAGGUAAGACCCCUUGAAGACUACAAGGUUGAUAGGCACACAGUGUAAGCGGAGUGAUCCGUUCAGCUAGCGUGUACUAAUAGGUCGAGGGCUUGACC
rnacentral:rRNA from 1 species